AUGGCGGCCGGCUACCGCUUCGCGCUCGGCCCGGACGUCGGCCUGGGCGGCCACCCCAGCGGCCUGGAGGUCAAUAUGAACGGCUUCAUGUACAAUAGGACAGCAAACGGCACUGGCAUUGGUUGGGGACAGGGCCUGGUGCACCCUGCUCAUGCUCACCCCGAGCCCUUCAUGCUUCCUGGGCAGGCUGCCCCAGAACAGCACAACUGGGGGUUUGUUGGGACUGGUCCGAUUGCCCUCGACCCCCGUGGUGGAGCAGGCCGUUCACCCAAAUUGCACUGCGAGUACGGCGUGCCUGUGCACACCGGCAAUCGCUACAUGAAAGGUGGCAUGAAUAAUCAGAUGGAGGCGUUUCGCCGCGAGGACGGUCAGAAUUUUGAUGGCAAGAAGAACAUGCCUGUUCUCUACCGUGCCAAGGACAGGAGGUUUCAGCAGCAUGCCAACAACAACAGGGCACUGGAGCUGGAGAGUCCUCGGAUGCUGAGGUAUGAGAACAUGGUUGGAGUUAAGGGGUACAUCUACUUCAUGGCCAAGGACCAGAAUGGCUGCCGGUUCUUGCAGCAGAAGUUCGAGGAAGGGAAGCAACACGUGGAUGUGAUUUUUGAAGGAAUCAUUGACCACAUGGCAGAGCUCAUGAUCAACUCGUUUGCCAACUAUCUCAUUCAGAAGCUUCUUGAUGUGUGUGAUGAGGAUCAGAGGCUGAGGAUCAUUGCCGUGCUGACGGAGGACCCUGUGAAGCUGCUGAGAAUCUCUGUGAACUCUCAUGGGACAAGGGCAGUUCAGAAAUUGAUAGAGACUCUUAAGGUCAGGAAGCAGAUAGUGCUCAUUAUUUCGGCCCUACAACCAGGCUUCAUGCAUCUUGUCAAUGAUCUCAAUGGUAAUCAUGUCAUACAGAAGUGCUUGUCAAACUUUGGUGCAGAGGAGAACAAGUUCAUAUUUGAGGCUGCUGCAACUCACUGUUUUGAAAUGGCAAUACAUCGCCAUGGCUGCUGUGUUUUACAAAAGUGCAUAACUAGUGCACGUGGUGAAUAUCAGGCGAAGCUAAUUGUGGAAGUGUGUGCUCAUGCCUUUCAGCUCGCUCAAGAUCCAUUUGGCAAUUAUGUGGUACAGUAUGUCCUGGACCAGAAAAUUCCUUCUGCAAAUGCACACCUGGCAUCUCAGUUUGAAGGAAGUUAUGUUUAUCUCUCAAAGCAAAAAGUGAGCAGCAAUGUGGUUGAGAAAUGCCUGAAGGUCUUCUCAGAUGAAGACAAAGCUGCCAUAGUGUUUGACUUGAUUUCAGUGCCUCAUUUUGAACAACUGCUGCAAGACCCUUUUGCGAACUAUGUCAUUCAUACUGCCCUUGUUAACAGCAGGGGCCAUCUCCAUAAUGCCCUGGUUGAAGCAAUCCGCCCUCAUGAAGAAGCCCUUCGGACCAGUCCCUGUUGUAAGAGAAUCUCUAGAGCCAUCUCUAGGAGGUGA
rnacentral:rRNA from 1 species